AGGUCAACAUAAGAUUCACAAAGUAAGAAUCUUGAAUUAUGCUUCAAUAGAAAUUAGUGACCUACUGCGGUGUCCAGCAUGACAGUAGCGAUGGUAGACAGUGGCAACAAUAGCAUCCAAUCGGUACAGAAAGGAUGAGAAGAAGAAUAAUAAAAGAAAUUACAUUAGACUUAGCCAAGAUCUUGGUCGAGCCUCUAACCAAUGGCCAUAUCCUGACG
rnacentral:lncRNA from 1 species